AGGAUAAACGCUGGCGGCGUGCUUUACCAAUGCGAGUCGGACGCGCCAUUCUACGGGGUGGCGAGUGGCGGCCGGGUGCGUAACACGUGGGUGACCUACCCAGGCGUGGGGGAUACCCGCCCGAAAGGGUGGCUAAUACCGCAUGGGCUCUCGUCUCGAGUGGCGAGAGCAAAGCGGCGCUCCGAGGAGGGGCGUGGCGCGUUUGGAGGGGCCCGCGGCCUAUCAGCUAGUCGGUGGGGUAACGGCCUACCGAGGCGGUGACGGGUAGCCGGUCUGAGAGGACGGACGGCCACACUGGGACUGAAAUAUGGUCCAGAGCCCUACGGGGUUUAGCAUGGAGGAAUCUUGCGCAACGGGGGCAACCCCGGCGCAGCAACGCCGCGUGGGGGAGGAAGGCCUUCGGGUCGUAAACCCCUGUUGUCCGGGAAGAAGUACUCCGGGGGAGAGCCUCGGGGGAAGACGGUACCGGACGAGGAAGCCCCGGCUAACUACGUGCCAGCAGCCGC
rnacentral:rRNA from 1 species